AACGAAGCACUCUAUUUGAUUUUCUUCGGAAAUGAAGAUUUUGUGACUGAGUGGCGGACGGGUGAGUAACGCGUGGGUAACCUGCCUCAUACAGGGGGAUAACAGUUGGAAACGACUGCUAAUACCGCAUAAGCGCACAGGAUUGCAUGAUCCGGUGUGAAAAACUCCGGUGGUAUGGGAUGGACCCGCGUCCGAUUAGCCAGUUGGCAGGGUAACGGCCUACCAAAGCGACGAUCAGUAGCCGACCUGAGAGGGUGACCGGCCACAUUGGGACUGAGACACGGCCCAAACUCCUACGGGAGGCAGCAGUGGGGAAUAUUGCACAAUGGGGGAAACCCUGAUGCAGCGACGCCGCGUGAGCGAAGAAGUAUUUCGGUAUGUAAAGCUCUAUCAGCAGGGAAGAAGAAUGACGGUACCUGACUAAGAAGCACCGGCUAAAUACGUGCCAGCAGCCGCGGUAAUACGUAUGGUGCAAGCGUUAUCCGGAUUUACUGGGUGUAAAGGGAGCGCAGGCGGUGCGGCAAGUCUGAUGUGAAAGCCCGGGGCUCAACCCCGGUACUGCAUUGGAAACUGUCGUACUAGAGUGUCGGAGGGGUAAGUGGAAUUCCUAGUGUAGCGGUGAAAUGCGUAGAUAUUAGGAGGAACACCAGUGGCGAA
rnacentral:rRNA from 1 species